AUGAGGUAGGGUACUGGCAACAGUGCUCUGCUGAAAUAUUUUCACCCAUGUCUUUUGCGCACUUUUUGUUUCCUGGGCGAGUUUGCUCGCCACCAGGACCCCCAUAUGAACCUUUUUUGUUUUUGCACUCAGCGUCAGUACAAUAAUUUAAUCUAUUAAAACUUUCAACAACGGAUCUCUUGGUUCUGGCAUCGAUGAAGAACGCAGCGAAAUGCGAUACGUAGUGUGAAUUGCAGAAUUCAGUGAAUCAUCGAAUCUUUGAACGCACAUUGCGCCCUUUGGUAUUCCAAAGGGCAUGCCUGUUCGAGCGUCAUUUGUACCCUCAAGCUUUGCUUGGUGUUGGGCGUCUUAUUGUCUCUCCGUCUCGGGGAGACUCGCCUUAAAACAAUUGGCAGCCGGCCUACUGGUUUCGGAGCGCAGCACAAAUUUGCGCUUGCAAUCAGCCAAGGGCGGCAUCCAUGAAGCCUUUUUUCUCUCACAUUUUGACCUCGGAUCAGGUAGGGAUACCCGCUGAACUUAAGCAUAUCAAUAGGCCGGAGAAAAAUGAUGGUCUCUGAUGAAGUC
rnacentral:rRNA from 1 species